rnacentral:rRNA from 1 species
CCUACGGGCGGCUGCAGUGGGGAAUAUUGGACAAUGGGCGAAAGCCUGAUCCAGCCAUGCCGCGUGUGUGAAGAAGGCCUUCGGGUUGUAAAGCACUUUCAGUGGGGAAGAAAGCCUUGGGGCUAAUACCCUCGAGGAAGGACAUCACCCACAGAAGAAGCACCGGCUAACUCCGUGCCAGCAGCCGCGGUAAUACGGAGGGUGCGAGCGUCAAUCGGAAUUACUGGGCGUAAAGCGCGCGUAGGCGGUCUGAUAAGCCGGUUGUGAAAGCCCCGGGCUCAACCUGGGAACGGCAUCCGGAACUGUCAGGCUAGAGUGCAGGAGAGGAAGGUAGAAUUCCCGGUGUAGCGGUGAAAUGCGUAGAGAUCGGGAGGAAUACCAGUGGCGAAGGCGGCCUUCUGGACUGACACUGACGCUGAGGUGCGAAAGCGUGGGUAGCAAACAGGAUUAGAUACCCCAGUAGUC